rnacentral:rRNA from 1 species
UACGUAGGGACCAAGCGUUGUUCGGAUUUACUGGGCGUAAAGGGCGCGUAGGCGGCAAUUCAAGUCAUCUGUGAAAUCUCCGGGCUUAACCCGGAACGGUCAGGUGAUACUGUUUUGCUAGAGUGCGGAAGGGGCAAUCGGAAUUCUCGGUGUAGCGGUGAAAUGCGUAGAUAUCAGGAAGAACACCCGUGGCUAAGGCGGCUCUCUAGUACGGUACUGACGCUGAGACGCGAAAGCGUGGGGAGCGAACAGG